GUUACUUUGGCAGAUUAGUGCUUUAAAUUUAGAAUUUAAUUAUGAAUAGGUUUAUUCAAGUAAUA
rnacentral:tRNA from 1 species